GGGGGUAUAGCUCAGUGGCAGAGUGCAGGCUCAGCACGCAUGAGGUCCUGGGUACAAUUCUUAGUACUUCCA
rnacentral:tRNA from 1 species